rnacentral:rRNA from 1 species
UACGAAGGGGGCUAGCGUUGCUCGGAAUCACUGGGCGUAAAGGGUGCGUAGGCGGGUCUUUAAGUCAGGGGUGAAAUCCUGGAGCUCAACUCCAGAACUGCCUUUGAUACUGAGGAUCUCGAGUCCGGGAGAGGUGAGUGGAACUCCGAGUGUAGAGGUGAAAUUCGUAGAUAUUCGGAAGAACACCAGUGGCGAAGGCGGCUCACUGGCCCGGUACUGACGCUGAGACGCGAAAGCGUGGGGAGCGAACAGG